rnacentral:rRNA from 1 species
GUGAACCUGCGGAGGGAUCAUUAUAGAGUUUUCAACUCCUUAAACCAUGUGAAUCUUACCACUGUUGCCUCGGUGGUGGGUGCGUCUCACGAUGCGCUGCCACCGGUGGACAUACAAACUCUUGUUAAUUUUUGGCAUUCUGAAUCAUAACUAAGAAAUAAGUUAAAACUUUCAACAACGGAUCUCUUGGUUCUGGCAUCGAUGAAGAACGCAGCGAAAUGCGAUAAGUAAUGUGAAUUGCAGAAUUCAGUGAAUCAUCGAAUCUUUGAACGCACAUUGCGCCCAUUAGUAUUCUAGUGGGCAUGCCUGUUCGAGCGUCAUUUCAACCCUUAAGCCUAGCUUAGUGUUGGGAGACUGCCUAAUACGCAGCUCCUCAAAACCAGUGGCAGAGUUUAUUCGUACUCUGAGCGCAGUAAUUUUUUAUCUCGCUUCUGUAAGUCGAUUAGACGAUAGCCAUAAACCGCAUCCCUCGGGAGCACUUUUUUAAUGGUUGACCUCGGAUCAGGUAGGAAUACCCGC